GGAAGUUUGACCAAAGCAUCCUCACUGUCUAAUUAUCUGUGAUGUCCCUUGGAUACCAUGCUGCAUGGCCUCCUGGAGCCUGGAGAUCGGCCUGGCAGGAUGCUUCUUGAAGCACGAGGAAGAUCCCAAUGGAAAGAGCUACUGACAGGCUGGGUGAGGAGCCAAGCAAGCCACGCACAUGUGGAGCAAGCAAGGCAAGAGGUCAGGGAAGGCGUCCUCGAGGAGGUAUUCCCAAAUGAGGACGCUGCCACCUCCCAGGUCACUCAGGAGCAGAAGGCAGAGGAAAUAUUUCAGCCCAAGGUGUUUUACAUCAACGACUUCUUUAGUCGAGAUGACAAAAGUAUUUAUUACAGGCAACGCCUGGCCAGGACUGUCUAAUGGCUCUCAGAGGCUGCAGUAAAGGCAGUCUGUGCCCCGAGCAAGACGGACUUCUGAGGCUGACCUGGGAGGGCCUGACUGAGGUGGCCUCAGCAUUCCUGCAAGAUGGGUGGAGCAGAGCGGCUGCUUUUCUGGUGAGGAAGUUGUGAACAAUAGACACCCACCUCUCUGGCCUUUUUGGGAGGCAGAUUUAUGCCUGGGCCUUGUCCUGAGCUCCGCUCUGCUCUUAGCUCUGGGGUGGAACAGCUGUCACUAGGGACUCCACUUUCAGGAAAGAUAGAGCUGCCGUGGGCCAGGCCCACCCACCCGCCUGCUUGCCCACACCUGCACUCUGUGAAGCCUAUGAGAUUUCUUUCCAGCCAGGGUUAGAAUGUGAUAGCCAGGAUGGGUGUUUCUAGGAUUUGCCUCCUAGAAAGCUUAAAAACACUGAUUCUGAGAUUCUCUUAUCCAUUCCCAUUUAGUACUUCUACAAGGGGGAGGGAAGAGUCUCAA